GACGGAGAUGGCAAGCGUUAUUCGGAAUCACUGGGCGUAAAGCGCGCGUAGGCGGUCCGGCAAGUUGGAUGUGGAAGCGUUCGGCUCAACCGAGCAAUUGCGUCCAAAACUGCCGGUCUGGAGUACGGUAGGGGGGAGUGGAACUUCUGGUGGAGCGGUGAAAUGCGUAGAUAUCAGAAGGAACGCCGGCGGCGAAGGCGACUCCCUGGGCCGUUACUGACGCUGAGGUGCGAAAGCCAGGGGAGCGAACGGGAUUAGAUACCCCCGUA
rnacentral:rRNA from 1 species